GAGGAGCUCUGGUGGAGAACAGGAAGUGUGCUCAGACAACUCAGGACUGGUCUUUCUUACCAUGGCUCUGCAUACUUGGCCAAGAAUGUACUUGAAACCUACUUUUGAAGCUGCCCUGACACAACUAAGACAACAUGGCUGGGCUGCCAUAAUCCCAACUCAUGGAUGAGGAUUGUCUCCAUGUGAGCUUACUUCUGAAGACUGAACUCUGGGAGGCAGAGAUGCUGCUCAGCUGAUUGGCAAUGGAAAAACACUCAGCAGCCAACUCGGGUGGAAGUAUGUUGGGUGAUUAAGUCUGCAUAUGAGCUGCUGCUAAGAGACUACAAGGUGUGUGAGAGAUGGACUCACCCAACGGGGGCGCUUGUUCAUCCCUUGCUUUUCAGUGAGGUAGUGCCUCUUCCACACCAACUGGAUGCUUCUGUUCCUUUUAAUGACUCUUAGCGCUUCAAGCAGAUGUGGUCCACCUUUUUCACCCUGAUAGGAAGCUGCCUGGUGUGUCUUGUUGGGCUUACCAAGAAUUCCAGACCCCUACGGAGCAGCGUUGUGUUGAGUCACGUGCCUGAAAACCUCUACCAGCCAGGCAAUGUCUCUCAGAUCUUGCAUUUUGUCACUUCUUUACCCCCAAUGGCUUGUUGUCUGACAUCACUUAAUGCGCCGAAACAGACUGCAAAAGAAUUGCUUCUAGAUGCAAAUUUGCCCCAGGCCCGUUGAACUUUAUGCCACGGCUUCAAGUUUAAUAAGAAACCAUCUUCAUUAAGACUGAAAAUGACUUCCAGUUUCUCCCAGUCCAACAGCUGCUUAGCUUCACUCUGGCUGCCAGUUGCACACACCUGCGUGUUGCAGCUGUGCGAGCUGCUAAAACACACUACGGACAGCCUAGGGUAGCCAACACCUGGAAAGCAUAAAGUAUUUACAGUUCGGAACAAGAACAAAACUCCCUCAAUAAAAAUACUUGUAGGUGAUCUGUAGUCUUUCAAGUGGUUGAUACAGAAAACAUUCUUUUUUUUUCCUUCUGAUCACCGGGCUGGGGGGAAGAUGGAAAGCUAAUUUGUUAGCAUGUCUGAUGCGUGUUUUGGGGGUGGUGGAGGUGAGUGCCCACCAGCUCUGUGCUUGGAAGAGCAGCAGACAGAGCUGUUUUGGCAGACAGGAAUUCAUUAGG
rnacentral:lncRNA from 1 species